rnacentral:rRNA from 1 species
GACGAACGCUGGCGGCGUGCCUAAUACAUGCAAGUCGAACGCAGUGGGGACGGGUGAGUAACACGUGGGUAACCUCUCCAUCAGAGGGGAUAACACGUGGAAACAGGGGCUAAAUCGAAAUUGAUGGAUGGAUUCGCGGUGCAUUAGGUAGUUGGUGAGGUAACGGCUCACCAAGGCCACGAUGCAUAACCGACCUGAGAGGGGGAUCGGCCACACUGGGACGGAGACACGGCCCAGACUCCUACGGGAGGCAGCAGUAGGGAAUCUUCCGCAAUGGACGAAAGCCUGACCGAGCAACGCCGCGUGAGUGAAGAAGGUUUUCGGAUCGUAAAACUCUGUUAUUAGAGAAGCGGUAUCUAACCAGAAAGCCACGGCUAACUACGUGCCAGCAGCCGCGGUAAUUC